GGAAGGGAGAGAGAAAGAGAGGGGCAGAGAGAAAGAGAGAUUUAGACUUUUCUCAUUUUGAAGGUGAUGCUCCCUUCAAAUAUCCUACAAACAGUAAUUAACCUCCAAUCAACAUAUUCUGGGAAGACUAUUGAGUGGUCUCACUUGCCAAGCUCAUUGCAGGCACAGUGAAGGAAUGCUCAGCCAUCGUGCUUACAACUGGUUCAACUUGAACUCCAACUACUCCAAAGGAACCAAACUCAUUCCAACAGUCUAAUUGCUAAGUCUCCUCUCCUAUUCUUCCGAGAAGAAAAAAUUUUUAAGCACAUCACACCACCCCUUAGCUUAAAAAAAAAAAAAAAACAAGAGGAAAGGAGAAAGAGCAAGUGAGUUACACCAUGGAAUAAUUAAAACGAAACAUGCCUCUACCUUUCCUGGCUGAGAAACCUGGCAAGCACAUCGCUGGCUUUUAGUUCUUCAGUUAGCUGUAUUGCCAUGGAAACUUUCGAAAGAUGGGGAGCUUGCACUCGAAUCACUCCCUGAGGAACGUCAGCCUGCAAAGCAAUAAUGACACUGGAACAAAGCUGGCAGCAGCUGGAACAUGUAACUCUGUACGAUGCAUUAUAUGGUCUGGGAGACGGUCUCUACCCGUUUCUGAACAGCUGCUGCCUGGGUCCGGGUCAAUGUUGAUAAAAACACCAUGCUCUCUUGGGGAUCUCCAGAAGACUCUCCGAAGAGAUUGGACAAACCAGCCUCUUUAAGCCAUUCUUCUUCCAAUUCUCCCUCUAAGACAGUGGAGAAAAAGGGUAUUUAAAUCAAAAGCUAUUAAUGCAAGAGGAUAACACCAUGCCCUUUCCAGAGAUGAACAAGGAAUGAAAAGAUAACUUACUUCCCUCAAGUUACAGAAGGAAGUCAAUCUUCAGGAUAUACUUUAAAGCCCAGUCUCUUGGCUUAAAUUUCUCACUACCUCAUUGUCCACACUGAUGAAAAGACUUGCUUUCUGUGUACACUGUCACCGACAGG